rnacentral:pre_miRNA from 1 species
CAAAUACUCCCUCCGUCCGGAAAUACUUGUCAUCAAAAUGGAUAAAAGGAAAUGUAUCUAGACGUAUUUUAAUUUUAGAUACAUAUCUUUUUAUCCAUUUUGAUGACAAGUAUUUUCAGACGGAGGGAGUAGAAA